UGGGGAAUAUUGGACAAUGGGCGCAAGCCUGAUCCAGCAAUGCCGCGUGAGUGAAGAAGGCCUUAGGGUUGUAAAGCUCUUUCGGCGGGGACGAUGAUGACGGUACCCGCAGAAGAAGCCCCGGCUAACUCCGUGCCAGCAGCCGCGGUAAUACGGAGGGGGCUAGCGUUGUUCGGAAUUACUGGGCGUAAAGGGCGCGUAGGCGGUGCGAUCAGUCAGGCGUGAAAGGCCCGGGCUCAACCCGGGGACUGCGCUUGAUACUGUUGCGCUGUGAGUCCGGGAGAGGAUGGCGGAAUUCCCAGUGUAGAGGUGAAAUUCGUAGAUAUUGGGAAGAACACCGGUGGCGAAGGCGGCCAUCUGGACCGGCACUGACGCUGAGGCGCGAAAGCGUGGGGAGCAAACAGG
rnacentral:rRNA from 1 species